rnacentral:rRNA from 1 species
AUUGAACGCUGGCGGCAUGCUUUACACAUGCAAGUCGAACGGCAGCGCGGGCUUCGGCCUGGCGGCGAGUGGCGAACGGGUGAGUAAUGCAUCGGAACGUGCCCAGUCGUGGGGGAUAGCCCGGCGAAAGCCGGAUUAAUACCGCAUACGACCUGAGGGUGAAAGCGGGGGACCGAAAGGCCUCGCGCUAUUGGAGCGGCCGAUGUCGGAUUGGCUAGUUGGUGGGGUAAAGGCUUACCAAGGCGACGAUCCGUAGCUGGUCUGCGAGGACGACCAGCCACACUGGGACUGAGACACGGCCCAGACUCCUACGGGAGGCAGCAGUGGGGAAUUUUGGACAAUGGGGGCAACCCUGAUCCAGCCAUGCCGCGUGCGGGAAGAAGGCCUUCGGGUUGUAAACCGCUUUUGUUCGGGAAGAAAUCCUCUGGGCUAAUACCCCGGGGGGAUGACGGUACCGGAAGAAGAAGCACCGGCUAACUACGUG